rnacentral:rRNA from 1 species
AGCGAACGCUGGCGGCAGGCCUAACACAUGCCAGUCGAACGAACUCUUCGGAGUUAGUGGCGGACGGGUGAGUAACACGUGGGAACGUGCCUUUUGGUUCGGAAUAACUCAGGGAAACUUGUGCUAAUACCGAAUGUGCCCUUCGGGGGAAAGAUUUAUCGCCAUUAGAGCGGCCCGCGUCUGAUUAGCUAGUUGGUGAGGUAACGGCUCACCAAGGCGACGAUCAGUAGCUGGUCUGAGAGGAUGACCAGCUACACUGGGACUGAGACACGGCCCAGACUCCUACGGGAGGCAGCAGUGGGGAAUCUUGCGCAAUGGGCGAAAGCCUGACGCAGCCAUGCCGCGUGAAUGAUGAAGGUCUUAGGAUUGUAAAAUUCUUUCACCGGGGACGAUAAUGACGGUACCCGGAGAAGAAGCCCCGGCUAACUUCGUG